GUUAUGUUUGCUGAGCCAUUCCAGUAUAUAAAUCUUCCUCUGGUUUCAUUUCAGUGCAGUUUGAUUUUCUACAAAUCAACUAGAGUAAAAUGAAAUUAGCAUAUGGUGAUUACUUAAUUAUUGAUCUUGCUUUAUCCUAAAUAAUUCACAAUCAAGCUUUUCGUGGAGUAUUUUUCUUCUUUCUUAAGCUGCUUAGCAACUUGUUAGAAGGUCACUUCAAUUUUCAGCAAAUUAAAUAAAAGAUGCAAGAAAUCGAUGGAAUCUUUUUGAGCUCUUUAUGCGACUAAGAGUGACAGAACCGGCUGAUUCUUGGGCUGAAAGAGUUUGGUUUUCUGGUGGAAAUGGACUGAUUUUGAGGGAGAAAGAGGUGGGU